UACGUAGGGUGCAAGCGUUAAUCGGAAUUACUGGGCGUAAAGCGCUCGCAGGUGGUUCGAUGCGUCGUGCGUGAAAGACCCCGGCUCAACUGGGGAGGGUCGUGCGAUACGGUCGAACUGGAGGCCAGUAGGGGGGAUGCGGAAUUCCGGGUGUAAUGGUGGAAUGCGUAGAGAUCCGGAGGAACACCAGCGGCGAAGGCGGCAUCCUGGACUGGUCCUGACACUCAGGAGCGAAAGCGUGG
rnacentral:rRNA from 1 species